GACGAACGCUGGCGGCGUGCUUAACACAUGCAAGUCGAACGGAAAGGCCCUGCUUUUGUGGGGUGCUCGAGUGGCGAACGGGUGAGUAACACGUGAGUAACCUGCCCUUGACUUUGGGAUAACUUCAGGAAACUGGGGCUAAUACCGGAUAGGAGAUCCUGCUGCAUGGUGGGGGUUGGAAAGUUUCGGCGGUUGGGGAUGGACUCGCGGCUUAUCCGCUUGUUGGUGGGGUAGUGGCUUACCAAGGCUUUGACGGGUAGCCGGCCUGGGAGGGUGACCGGCCACAUUGGGCCUGAGAUACGACCCAGACUCCUACGGGCGGCAGCAGUGGGGAAUAUUGCACAAUGGGCGGAAGCCUGAUGCAGCAACGCCGCGUGCGGGAUGACGGCCUUCGGGUUGUAAACCGCUUUCGCCUGUGACGAAGCGUGAGUGACGGUAAUGGGUAAAGAAGCACCGGCUAACUACGUG
rnacentral:rRNA from 1 species